AUUUGCUCUGGCCUAGAUUUUUUUAAUCAUGAGGGAAUAUGAGUAAAAGAUUAAAGAACGGUUUGUUUUAGAGUCAAACUUUUUUCACUGGAAGCUUCUUGACAGUGAGAAGCAGAGGUUAAUUAGACUGAGCAAGUCUGAAAGAAUUUAAAAAGGGAGAAAGUGACUGAUAACAGAGGGAGUUUAAUGAGUGCAGAGAGGGAGGGAGGGUUCAACAAAAAGGUUCAUAAUGUAAAAGUGGAGAUCUUUAAGUUAUGCUGCAAAAGAAAAAGCAGUUACAGAGCCAUCUAUGCAGCAGGGUGGUUGAAUAAAUCAUGGCUGCCUCAUCUAUGCUACCCAUUUCUCUUGGUUAUAAGCUGGCAGCCAAACACCCACCUGCAUACUCACCUCAUUCUUUGUGUUUUGGCAGGAUGACGCUGAAGGCCUGUACUGCCAGGAGCAGAUCAACAGGUCCAUCUACUGGGCAGACGGGUAUGUGCUGGUUUUCUCCAUUACAGACAACAGUAGCUAUCGAACCAUCCAGCCUCUCUACCAGCACAUCAGACGUAUACAUCCGUCUGGAAACAUCCCGGUUAUUCUGGUUGGAAACAAGAAUGACCUGCUCCGAGCCCGACAAGUGCCUGCAGAAGAAGGCAACACGUUAGCCACUUCCCUAGGAGGCGUUUACUUCGAGGCCUCGGCCAGAGAGAACCACGAGGGAGUCCAUGCCGCCUUCCUCCAUCUCUGUCAGGAGGUGGGGCUUUAUCUUAUUUUUCUCUUCUUUUGUCGGAAACGGUUGAUUGGUGACUCAGGAGUCCUAAUAUAGGGAGCGUUUGUCUCGAUGAAAGCAUCUUAUUUAGCUCCUUGGGUGUUGGUCAUUUUAUAUCCACCAUCCUUUUAAGGAAUUUCAUGCUCUGUGGGAGCUCUGAUAGCUGACUGAUCCUAAAAACGGAAAUACCACAUGUUUAUCUUUUUGGCCAUAGAGGGAAACCAAAAUGGAUCACUGUGUG